rnacentral:rRNA from 1 species
AGAGUUUGAUCAUGGCUCAGAUUGAACGCUGGCGGCAGGCCUAACACAUGCAAGUCGAACGGUAACAGGAAACAGCUUGCUGUUUCGCUGACGAGUGGCGGACGGGUGAGUAAUGUCUGGGAAACUGCCUGAUGGAGGGGGAUAACUACUGGAAACGGUAGCUAAUACCGCAUAACGUCGCAAGACCAAAGAGGGGGACCUUCGGGCCUCUUGCCAUCAGAUGUGCCCAGAUGGGAUUAGCUAGUAGGUGGGGUAACGGCUCACCUAGGCGACGAUCCCUAGCUGGUCUGAGAGGAUGACCAGCCACACUGGAACUGAGACACGGUCCAGACUCCUACGGGAGGCAGUAGUGGGGAAUAUUGCACAAUGGGCGCAAGCCUGAUGCAGCCAUGCCGCGUGUAUGAAGAAGGCCUUCGGGUUGUAAAGUACUUUCAGCGGGGAGGAAGGGAGUAAAGUUAAUACCUUUGCUCAUUGACGUUACCCGCAGAAGAAGCACCGGCUAACUCCGUGCCAGCAGCCGCGGUAAUACGGAGGGUGCAAGCGUUAAUCGGAAUUACUGGGCGUAAAGCGCACGCAGGCGGUUUGUUAAGUCAGAUGUGAAAUCCCCGGGCUCAACCUGGGAACUGCAUCUGAUACUGGCAAGCUUGAGUCUCGUAGAGGGGGGUAGAAUUCCAGGUGUAGCGGUGAAAUGCGUAGAGAUCUGGAGGAAUACCGGUGGCGAAGGCGGCCCCCUGGACGAAGACUGACGCUCAGGUGCGAAAGCGUGGGGAGCAAACAGGAUUAGAUACCCUGGUAGUCCACGCCGUAAACGAUGUCGACUUGGAGGUUGUGCCCUUGAGGCGUGGCUUCCGGAGCUAACGCGUUAAGUCGACCGCCUGGGGAGUACGGCCGCAAGGUUAAAACUCAAAUGAAUUGACGGGGGCCCGCACAAGCGGUGGAGCAUGUGGUUUAAUUCGAUGCAACGCGAAGAACCUUACCUGGUCUUGACAUCCACGGAAGUUUUCAGAGAUGAGAAUGUGCCUUCGGGAACCGUGAGACAGGUGCUGCAUGGCUGUCGUCAGCUCGUGUUGUGAAAUGUUGGGUUAAGUCCCGCAACGAGCGCAACCCUUAUCCUUUGUUGCCAGCGGUCCGGCCGGGAACUCAAAGGAGACUGCCAGUGAUAAACUGGAGGAAGGUGGGGAUGACGUCAAGUCAUCAUGGCCCUUACGACCAGGGCUACACACGUGCUACAAUGGCGCAUACAAAGAGAAGCGACCUCGCGAGAGCAAGCGGACCUCAUAAAGUGCGUCGUAGUCCGGAUUGGAGUCUGCAACUCGACUCCAUGAAGUCGGAAUCGCUAGUAAUCGUGGAUCAGAAUGCCACGGUGAAUACGUUCCCGGGCCUUGUACACGCCGCCCGUCACACCAUGGGAGUGGGUUGCAAAAGAAGUAGGUAGCUUAACCUUCGGGAGGGCGCUUACCACUUUGUGAUUCAUGACUGGGGUGAAGUCGUAACAAGGUAACCGUAGGGGAACCUGCGGUUG